GAAAUGAUGAAAUUGAGGCUGUCCUACUUUGGGGCAUAUCACUUAAAAGGCAGGAUUCUCUGGAAAAAGACCAUCAUGCUGGGGAUGAUGGAAGGCAGCAGGAAGCGAGGAAGAUGGGCUAUGAGAUGGAUUGACUUUACAAGAGGGCUGUUGAAGGCCAGUCUUCAUAGGGUUGCCAUAAGUUGGGGGAAACUUGACUGCACAUAAGAAGAAGAACGACAGGGUAGCCCUGAUGAAGCUGCCCUUCUGUUUCUAAGAACAGAACAGUUUUCCUUUUUCUUUUUUUCCUGGCCUGUUCAAGGCUGCGUUGGUCUCUACCACCCGCCCACCCUGAUUCCCACCCCUCCCACUGUUUUCCUCCCUGAACAUUACGUUGAGUAUGCAGAUUGGGUAUGUGGGUGGGUGUACACAUGCACAUCUCUUAAAGUGCUCUGAGCUGCUGCCUCGGGUGUUGGGCUGGGAAAGGUACGUGGAGGGGUUUCAUCUCUGGUGGCUUCUCCCUCCGCCAAGAGUUGCCAGACCCGAGCUCAGUGUCGCCGGCCGUCCUCUCUUCCCCAGAGUCCUUGGGAGGUCAUCAAGAGGUCUUUAAAAAUGCCAUCUUCUCAGGGAAGCGUCCCGAGUUACCUGGGACUCUCCAUCUUCACCAUGCUUUGCUGCUGCUUACCUCUCGGCAUCGCAGCUGUGAUCUACUCUUCUCAAGUGGACAACGCCAACUGCUCUGGAGAUUUCAACAGGGCGUCCCAAGCUUCCCGCACGGCUCGCAAGCUGAACAUUAUCGGGAUUGUGCUUGGGGUGAUUACGCUGAUCAUCGUGGCAGUGAUUUAUGCUGUUGUAUUCACUCAAAUGAAAUGAGAGGGUGUACCCAGCGCUCCCAGCAUGUAUUGCAAGGGAAGGGGCCAGAUCCAGUUCCUUUUGUAGAGAACAUCCUCCACCCGGAUACCACGGGCCACACCUGCAAGAUUACCACUGGAAAGCCACAAAGAGAGCAAGUUGCUGUUUUUGCAAACCAAGGGCUCUUUUGUAUUCUCUCUAAUUGAGUCACUGCUUUGCUUUUUCUAAUACCCAGAUGUACAACAUGAGCUCAAAGAACAUAGUAAUUGUAUGUCAAUAAAAUUCAAGUGACACAUACA
rnacentral:lncRNA from 1 species